rnacentral:lncRNA from 1 species
GAGUUCAGCCUAUCAUUUGAGAUCCGAGUAUGAUUGGGGAAAUAUCCUGAAAUAGUCUAUGAUUUGAAGAAAUGGAUAGAUGGCUAGAAUAACAUGCUAGAUGGUAGUCAAGUUACUAACUGCAGAAUUGAUUUGAUAAAAUUCUCAUCGUGUCUCCUGACUUAGGAGAAAUAUUGGGUCUGAUGAAUGGGUAAAAUUCCCAGGUGAAAAGAAUUUGGUCUGUAAGAUUUGGCAGCACCCUGAGGUUUGCCAUAUCUGAUGGCCUGGCUUUAGUGGCAGCACCUAGUGAAGGCCCAGGUGUCCUUCUGACAACCUUUACCACCUACCGUUUUGUCCUUACUUAUGUUGAAUCACUACACACAGGCUGUUGAAUUCAGCUGUCUGUGGAGAAAUUAUACCAACCACAUGGUUAGACAGAAGGAAUACAAUAUAUUGCUUAAUUUGUAUCUGAAAGCUAAGCAACAUGGAAAAAAAUCAAGCAUGCUCAGUCACUUCCAUGAGGACAAACGAAGACACUUCAAGGAGGACAUUGACAUGGAUCUGCCAGCUUUCUAAGACUUUCCCCAGAUUCAAGUCCAGUCACAUCAAGUUGCCUUAUUAAAGGGUCUGCCCACUCAAAAGGAGAAAGUGCAAAAGAUGCUCAGCAAGGGUAGCAAACGCAGUCAGAUGAUACUUCCUGACAGCAUCCAAGAGCAAGUCUCACCACCACAUCUGUCAAUAAAAA